rnacentral:rRNA from 1 species
GACGAGCCACACAAACGUUAUUCGGAAUUACUGGGCUUAAAGGGUGCGUAGGCGGUGCGGAAAGUUGGGUGUGAAAUCCCUCGGCUCAACCGAGGAAUUGCGCUCAAAACUACCGUGCUCGAGGGAGAUAGAGGAGUGCGGAACUUAGGGUGGAGCGGUGAAAUGCGUUGAUAUCCUAGGGAACACCGGUGGCGAAAGCGGCACUCUGGAUCUCAUCUGACGCUGAUGCACGAAAGCUAGGGUAGCAAACGGG